UAUCCGUCGUGGGCGUAGGAAAUUUGAGAGGAGCUGUCCUUAGUACGAGAGGACCGGGAUGGACAUACCUCUGGUGUACCAGUUGUCGUGCCAACGGCAUAGCUGGGUAGCUAUGUGUGGACGGGAUAAGUGCUGAAAGCAUCUAAGCAUGAAGCCCCCCUCAAGAUGAGAUUUCCCAACUUCGGUUAUAAGAUCCCUCAAAGAUGAUGAGGUUAAUAGGUUCGAGGUGGAAGCAUGGUGACAUGUGGAGCUGACGAAUACUAAUCGAUCGAAGACUUAAUCAA
rnacentral:rRNA from 1 species